GACGAACGCUGGCGGCGUGCCUAAUACAUGCAAGUCGAGCGGGGCUGUUUGCUGGAAGCCUUCGGGCGGAAAGCUUGCAGCCUAGCGGCGGACGGGUGAGUAACGCGUGGGUAACCUGUCCUGAAGUACGGGAUAACAGUUCGAAAGGGCUGCUAAUACCGUAUGUGGUCAAGGGGAGUUCGCUUUCUUUGACUAAAGGUGAAAACCGCUUCAGGGUGGGCCCGCGUCCCAUUACGCUAGUUGGUAGGGUAAUGGCCUACCAAGGCGACGAUGGGUAGCCGGCCUGAGAGGGUGACCGGCCACACUGGGACUGAGACACGGCCCAGACUCCUACGGGAGGCAGCAGUAGGGAAUCUUGCGCAAUGGGGGAAACCCUGACGCAGCGACGCCGCGUGAGUGAAGAAGGCCUUCGGGUCGUAAAGCUCUGUCCUCCGGGAAGAUAAUGACGGUACCGGAGGAGGAAGCCCCGGCUAACUACGUG
rnacentral:rRNA from 1 species